CAACCUGCCCAUCACUUGGGGAUAACCUUGCGAAAGUAAGACUAAUACCCAAUGACAUCCAUAGAAGACAUCUGAAAUGGAUUAAAGAUUUAUCGGUGAUGGAUGGGGAUGCGUCUGAUUAGCUUGUUGGCGGGGUAACGGCCCACCAAGGCUACGAUCAGUAGGGGUUCUGAGAGGAAGGUCCCCCACAUUGGAACUGAGACACGGUCCAAACUCCUACGGGAGGCAGCAGUGAGGAAUAUUGGUCAAUGGACGAGAGUCUGAACCAGCCAAGUAGCGUGCAGGAUGACGGCCCUAUGGGUUGUAAACUGCUUUUAUAAGGGAAUAAAGUGAGUCUCGUGAGACUUUUUGCAUGUACCUUAUGAAUAAGGACCGGCUAAUUCCGUGCCAGCAGCCGCGGUAAUACGGAAGGUCCGGGCGUUAUCCGGAUUUAUUGGGUUUAAAGGGAGCGUAGGCCGGAGAUUAAGCGUGUUGUGAAAUGUAGUGGCUCAACCUCUGCACUGCAGCGCGAACUGGUCUUCUUGAGUACGCACAACGUGGGCGGAAUUCGUGGUGUAGCGGUGAAAUGCUUAGAUAUCACGAAGAACUCCGAUUG
rnacentral:rRNA from 1 species